rnacentral:rRNA from 1 species
AGUGAACGCUGGCGGUAGGCCUAACACAUGCAAGUCGAACGGCAGCACAGUAAGAGCUUGCUCUUACGGGUGGCGAGUGGCGGACGGGUGAGGAAUACAUCGGAAUCUACUUUUUCGUGGGGGAUAACGUAGGGAAACUUACGCUAAUACCGCAUACGACCUACGGGUGAAAGCAGGGGAUCUUCGGACCUUGCGCGAUUGAAUGAGCCGAUGUCGGAUUAGCUAAUUGGCGGGGUAAAUGCCCACCAAGGCGACGAUCCGUAGCUGGUCUGAGAGGAUGAUCAGCCACACUGGAACUGGGACACGGUCCAGACUCCUACGGGAGGCAGCAGUGGGGAAUAUUGGACAAUGGGCGCAAGCCUGAUCCAGCCAUACCGCGUGGGUGAAGAAGGCCUUCGGGUUGUAAAGCCCUUUUGUUGGGAAAGAAAAGCAGCAGGUUAAUACCCCGCUGUUCUGACGGUACCCAAAGAAUAAGCACCGGCUAACUUCGUG